rnacentral:rRNA from 1 species
CGGAAGUCGUACAGGUCCCCGUAUCUCUGAACGUCGACCCGUAUAUUCUGAUUGGGCUAUAUGAUUUUUGGCGGGGGGGUGAGUAACAUUUAGGAAUCUGCCUAGUAGUGGGGGAUAGCUCGGGGAAACUCGAAUUAAUACCGCAUACGACCUACGGGUGAAAGGGGGCGCAAGCUCUUGCUAUUAGAUGAGCCUAAAUCAGAUUAGCUAGUUGGUGGGGUAAAGGCCCACCAAGGCGACGAUCUGUAACUGGUCUGAGAGGAUGAUCAGUCACACCGGAACUGAGACACGGUCCGGACUCCUACGGGAGGCAGCAGUGGGGAAUAUUGGACAAUGGGGGCGACCCUGAUCCAGCCAUGCCGCGUGUGUGAAGAAGGCCUUUUGGUUGUAAAGCACUUUAAGCAGGGAGGAGAGACUAAUGGUUAAUACCCAUUAUAUUAAACAUUACCUGCAUAAUAAGCACCGGCUAACUCUGUGCCAGCAGCCGCGGUAAUACAGAGGGUGCGAGCGUUAAUCGGAAUUACUGGGCGUAAAGCGAGUGUAGGUGGCUCAUUAAGUCACAUGUGAACUCCCCGGGCUUAACCUGGGAACUGCAUGUGAUACUGGUGGUGCUAGAAUAUGUGAGAGGGAAGUAAAUUUCAA